rnacentral:rRNA from 1 species
GGUGGAGCGAUUUGUCUGGUUUAUUCCGAUAACGAGCGAGACUCUAGCCUGCUAAAUAGUGGCUGGAUUUUUAAGUCCAGUCUACUUCUUAGAGGGAUAAGCGGUGUUUAGCCGCACGAGAUUGAGCGAUAACAGGUCUGUGAUGCCCUUAGAUGUCCGGGGCUGCACGCGCGCUACAAUGGAAGAAUCAGCUGGCCUAUCCAUUGCCGAAAGGCAUUGGUAAACCGUUGAAACUCUUCCGUGACCGGGAUAGGGAAUUGUAAUUAUUUCCCUUGAACGAGGAAUUCCUAGUAAGUGUGAGUCAUCAGCUCACGCUGAUUACGUCCCUGCCCUUUGUAU